AGAGUUUGAUCCUGGCUCAGGAUGAACGCUAGCUACAGGCUUAACACAUGCAAGUCGAGGGGCAGCAUCAUCAAAGCUUGCUUUGAUGGAUGGCGACCGGCGCACGGGUGAGUAACACGUAUCCAACCUGCCGACAACACUGGGAUAGCCUUUCGAAAGAAAGAUUAAUACCGGAUGGCAUAGUUUUCCCGCAUGGGAUAAUUAUUAAAGAAUUUCGGUUGUCGAUGGGGAUGCGUUCCAUUAGGCAGUUGGCGGGGUAACGGCCCACCAAACCUACGAUGGAUAGGGGUUCUGAGAGGAAGGUCCCCCACAUUGGAACUGAGACACGGUCCAAACUCCUACGGGAGGCAGCAGUGAGGAAUAUUGGUCAAUGGACGAGAGUCUGAACCAGCCAAGUAGCGUGAAGGAUGACUGCCCUAUGGGUUGUAAACUUCUUUUAUACGGGAAUAAAGUGAGCCACGUGUGGCUUUUUGUAUGUACCGUAUGAAUAAGGAUCGGCUAACUCCGUGCC
rnacentral:rRNA from 1 species